UACGAAGGGGAGCUAGCGUUGUUCGGAAUUACUGGGCGUAAAGCGCACGUAGGCGGGUCUGUAAGUAGAGGGUGAAAAUCCCAGGGCUCAACCCUGGAACUGCCUUCUAGACUGCAGGCCUCGAGGUCAGGAGAGGCGAGUGGAAUACCGAGUGUAGAGGUGAAAUUCGUAGAUAUUCGGUGGAACACCAGUGGCGAAGGCGGACUCGCUGG
rnacentral:rRNA from 1 species